GACGAACGCUGGCGGCGUGCUCAACACAUGCAAGUCGAGCGGUAAGGCCCUUCGGGUACACGAGCGGCGAACGGGUGAGUAACACGUGGGUGACCUGCCUCUAGCUCUGGGAUAAGCCUGGGAAACUGGGUCUAAUACCGGAUAUGACUCCACGGCGCAUGUUGUGGGGUGGAAAGCCUUGUGUGGCUAGAGAUGGGCCCGCGGCCUAUCAGCUUGGUUGGUGGGGGG
rnacentral:rRNA from 1 species